UGGGGAAUUUUGGACAAUGGGCGAAAGCCUGAUCCAGCAAUGCCGCGUGUGUGAAGAAGGCCUUCGGGUUGUAAAGCACUUUUGUCCGGAAAGAAAUGGCUCUGGUUAAUACCUGGGGUCGAUGACGGUACCGGAAGAAUAAGGACCGGCUAACUACGUGCCAGCAGCCGCGGUAAUACGUAGGGUCCAAGCGUUAAUCGGAAUUACUGGGCGUAAAGCGUGCGCAGGCGGUUGUGCAAGACCGAUGUGAAAUCCCCGAGCUUAACUUGGGAAUUGCAUUGGUGACUGCACGGCUAGAGUGUGUCAGAGGGGGGUUAGAAUUCCACGUGUAGCAGUGAAAUGCGUAGAGAUGUGGAGGAAUACCGAUGGCGAAGGCAGCCCCCUGGGAUAACACUGACGCUCAUGCACGAAAGCGUGGGGAGCAAACAGGAUUAGAUACCCUGGUAGUCCACGCCCUAAAACGAUGUCAACUAGGUUGUUGGGGGAUUCAUUUCCUUAGUAACGUAGCUAACGCGUUAAAUCGACCGCCUGGGGAGUACGGCCGCAAGGUUAAAACUUAAAUGAAUGACGGGGUCAUAGCAUGUUUUUCC
rnacentral:rRNA from 1 species